UGCAAAUGCAACUUAAAUAUGAACAAAUAUGAAUCAUUGUUAAUGUUUAGACAAUAGUUGUUCAUAUAUCAUGAAUAAAUACAAGUUUUUCACACUUUAUAUAAUAUUACGUGGGGGACUUUUAUUUUGAAAGUUUCUUAAAUUCCGCAACACGGAAGUACUUUUAUUUUUUUUGUGUUGCUGACGACAAGCUGGUGACUCCUAGUUACAGGGCGGCAGCUUCGAUCGCACAUGGCAGACGACAAAAGGGUUGUGUUUCAGCUCGCAAAGCGGUUCACAAAUAUAUUCAGAACACACUAUGCAGCCGGUCUGUAUACCUCAGUGUUGUGUGCAGCCUGUCCGAGUGGUGAGAUGCCUUUGGAUAUACGGCGUAAAAAACAACAUUAUUUUAUUGGGUUAGGCUGAAAGGCUGUAAAGUUGAGCAUCCCACUGCUACUGUUCUAGAUGACUGUUGGGAAUAUACAAGUAGACAAGGCAGUGGUUUUGGUUGGACAGUUGGAAAAACUUGCUGAUGAGAGUGGUUGGAGGUUGGCCCUUCCGUGGUGAUUAAGGUCUGUUCCUCCAUGGUUAUAGUUAGUUAGCUCGUAGAUUUAGCAAAAGCAGAGUGGGUAGCCACUUUGUCGAUGUGCACAAGAGUAACUAACUAGGCACUUUUGCUAACCUUGCCUGGUGGGUUCUUCUAGAUUUAGCGAACUAACGUUAACUAUCUCAAUCUAGUCAAGUAGCCAACAAACAUUCAACACUGAAACUAAAAAGUUGAUUUCCUUGCUCAAGUAUGGGGAUGUGCUUACCGUGCCUUGGUGGACCUGGAAACGACUUGUCCACCACACCAGAUCGAGAGACAAGGAGACUUGAGCUGGCAGAGGCCGCUGAGAAGAGACAGAAAGAGGUGUGACUGUUUUGGACAAGUUGUUAUGACAACCAUAUACGGUAAGCUUACACUGGUACAGCAAAGGGCUGGUUUCCCGGACACAGAUUAAGCCUAGUCCAGGAUUGAAAAGCAUUUUCCAUGGAGAUUCACUGUUAAAUUAUUCUUUUUUUUCAGUCCAGGACUAGGAUUAAUUUGUGUCCAGGAAACCAGCCCUAUAUAGCCCACACAUGGUGGUCCUGUGUGGCUCAGUUGGAUUAGGGUGUGGUGAGGUUGUGGGGUCAGUUCCCGCAGGGAUCCUGUACACCACUGUACCAUGAGUCAUUUAGCUGGGAUGAGUGUCUUCUAAGUGGCGUACUGUAGACAACCACUGAACAGUCAGUAGAGCUGGGCGAUACGGACACAAAUCCAUAUUGUGAUAAAUUGCCUGAAUUUAUGCGAUAAAGUUUAUAACAUUUAAUGUGCACCAUUUGUACAAAAUAAAUGUUAUCCUUUAAACUACUACUAGUUGUAUGGUUGUAGCCAUCUAUUGUUCCAUGAACAAUCAGUCAUAUUAGAAAACAUUUAAUUUCAAAACACAUCUCUAGUUAUAGGCUACUUAUCGUAAUGAACGAUAUCUGCCAAAAUGCCUGUGAUAAGUGAUUGGUAUGGUUUAUUUGUCCCAACUCUACCAGUUUAUCUCAGCAGCCAGCCACUCUCCCAGUCUUGUUAUUCGUAUAGAAGAGCUUCCUGAGACAGAGUGGAGUCUGCUGGGAGAAGAGAGAAGGCAUCUCAUUACCUUUCCCUUUUACCACUAUCGUGUUAACUGACCGAAAAUCCCUACUGCGCUGGCUCCAAUCCCUUCCCAGUACGGUUCCAGCAGCUACAGAUGUAGGAUCUUAAUGUGAUCACCCAGAACUUGCUGUAUAUUUGAGAUUUAAAAAGUCUUCUGAACUUUGUAAUUUCCACUGUGAUAUUUCAGACUCGAUUUUUCCCUUACGAAAAAUUUAUCAACUCCUACAAAAAAAAAAUCAAUUUAAUUAUAAUACACAUAAUAAUUCACUUUUUCUGUUGCUGCGUGAUAAUGUUCAGGCUGUAGCAAACUGGCUCAAAUGAAGAUCCUACAUCUGUACGGUAGAUGUGCCGUGUAACCAGGUCAGCACACUGCAGCUCGGCUUGAUUUCCGCUCCGUAGUGUGAAAAGGUUAGCCGAAUAUAACGAGGCUUGAACCAAGAAAUCCAAUCUAGAAAUUCAAUCUAUGGUGUUUUGUACCCUUUGUUGCAAGGCUACUAAAGUCUCUUCAAUCAUAAUGUUUAGUAGCUCCUCAUAAGACUGGUGGGUAAAUGUUUAUUUUUUACUGUUAUACAGAAAUUCUUGAGUCAAAGCCAAUUGUAUCCAACCCAUAAAACAUGUCAUCCUACUAAAGCAUCGAGGUGAGUAUGAAGACCGUGUUCUUAGCUCCAUGUUUUGACUCGGCUGGUAUUUCCUCCCACCACCCACACCACCCACCUCUCACUUCUGGUGCUGCACACCUUGUCAUUCUGUCUUAACUUUAUUUUAAACGUUCCUUACCCUGGUUCCAGAUCUGUUUGCGCUGUCUUGCCAGCUCCAAUGGUUAUUGUCACUCCGUUGACCACAGGAUUUGGCAAGACGGCACAAACAGAUCUGGAACCAGGAUAUAACUUAUGCUUUUCCCCGACACAACAACACUAUAUACUGGAACUUAAUGCCUCUAACAGAUCUGGGACCAGGCCUCUUGCCACAUUGGAGGUCAUAUAAUCCAGCAUGUGUCAAA